UGCUUAACACAUGCAAGUCGAACGGAAAGGCCCUGCUUUUGUGGGGUGCUCGAGUGGCGAACGGGUGAGUAACACGUGAGUAACCUGCCCUUGACUUUGGGAUAACUUCAGGAAACUGGGGCUAAUACCGGAUAGGAGCUCCUGCUGCAUGGUGGGGGUUGGAAAGUUUCGGCGGUUGGGGAUGGACUCGCGGCUUAUCAGCUUGUUGGUGGGGUAGUGGCUUACCAAGGCUUUGACGGGUAGCCGGCCUGAGAGGGUGACCGGCCACAUUGGGACUGAGAUACGGCCCAGACUCCUACGGGAGGCAGCAGUGGGGAAUAUUGCACAAUGGGCGGAAGCCUGAUGCAGCAACGCCGCGUGCGGGAUGACGGCCUUCGGGUUGUAAACCGCUUUCGCCUGUGACGAAGCGUGAGUGACGGUAAUGGGUAAAGAAGCACCGGCUAGCUACGUGCCAGCAGCCGCGGUGAUACGUAGGGUGCGAGCGUUGUCCGGAUUUAUUGGGCGUAAAGGGCUCGUAGGUGGUUGAUCGCGUCGGAAGUGUAAUCUUGGGGCUUAACCCUGAGCGUGCUUUCGAUACGGGUUGACUUGAGGAAGGUAGGGGAGAAUGGAAUUCCUGGUGGAGCGGUGGAAUGCGCANAUAUCAGGAGNAACACCAGUGGCGAAGGCGGUUCUCUGGGCCUUUCCUGACGCUGAGGAGCGAAAGCGUGGGGAGCGAACAGGCUUAGAUACCCUGGUAGUCCACGCUGUAAACGGUGGGUACUAGGUGUGGGGUCCAUUCCACGGGUUCCGUGCCGUAGCUAACGCUUUAAGUACCCCGCCUGGGGAGUACGGCCGCAAGGCUAAAACUCAAAGGAAUUGACGGGGCCCCGCACAAGCGGCGGAGCAUGCGGAUUAAUUCGAUGCAACGCGUAGAACCUUACCUGGGUUUGACAUGGAUCGGGAGCGCUCAGAGAUGGGUGUGCCUCUUUUGGGGUCGGUUCACAGGUGGUGCAUGGCUGUCGUCAGCUCGUGUCGUGAGAUGUUGGGUUAAGUCCCGCAACGAGCGCAACCCUUGUUCACUGUUGCCAGCACGUUAUGGUGGGGACUCAGUGGAGACCGCCGGGGUCAACUCGGAGGAAGGUGGGGAUGACGUCAAGUCAUCAUGCCCCUUAUGUCCAGGGCUUCACGCAUGCUACAAUGGCUGGUACAGAGAGUGGCGAGCCUGUGAGGGUGAGCGAAUCUCGGAAAGCCGGUCUCAGUUCGGAUUGGGGUCUGCAACUCGACCUCAUGAAGUCGGAGUCGCUAGUAAUCGCAGAUCAGCAACGCUGCGGUGAAUACGUUCCCGGGGCUCGUACACACCGCCCGUCAAGUCAUGAAAGUUGGUAACACCCGAAGCCGGUGGCCUAACCGUUGUGGGGGAGCCGUCGAAGGUGGGACUGGUGAUUAGGACUAAGUCGUAACAAGGUAACCA
rnacentral:rRNA from 1 species